GACGAACGCUGGCGGCGUGCUUAACACAUGCAAUUCGAACGGAAAGGCCCUGCUUUUGUGGGGUGCUCGAAUGGCGAACGGGUGAAUAACACGUGAGUAACCUGCCCUUGACUUUGGGAUAACUUCAGGAAACUGGGGCUAAUACCGGAUAGGAGCUCCUGCUGCAUGGUGGGGGUUGGAAAGUUUCGGCGGUUGGGGAUGGACUCGCGGCUUAUCAGCUUGUUGGUGGGGUAGUGGCUUACCAAGGCUUUGACGGGUAGCCGGCCUGAGAGGGUGACCGGCCACAUUGGGACUGAGAUACGGCCCAGACUCCCGCGGGAGGCAGCAGUGGGGAAUAUUGCACAAUGGGCGGAAGCCUGAUGCAGCAACGCCGCGUGCGGGAUGACGGCCUUCGGGUUGUAAACCGCUUUCGCCUGUGACGAAGCGUGAGUGACGGUAAUGGGUAAAGAAGCACCGGCUAACUACGUGCCAGCAGCCGCGGUGAUACGUAGGGUGCGAGCGUUGUCCGGAUUUAUUGGGCGUAAAGGGCUCGUAGGUGGUUGAUCGCGUCGGAAGUGUAAUCUUGGGGCUUAACCCUGAGCGUGCUUUCGAUACGGGUUGACUUGAGGAAGGUAGGGGAGAAUGGAAUUCCUGGUGGAGCGGUGGAAUGCGCAGAUAUCAGGAGGAACACCAGUGGCGAAGGCGGUUCUCUGGGCCUUUCCUGACGCUGAGGAGCGAAAGCGUGGGGAGCGAACAGGCUUAGAUACCCUGGUAGUCCACGCUGUAAACGGUGGGUACUAGGUGUGGGGUCCAUUCCACGGGUUCCGUGCCGUAGCUAACGCUUUAAGUACCCCGCCUGGGGAGUACGGCCGCAGGGCUAAAACUCAAAGGAAUUGACGGGGCCCCGCACAAGCGGCGGAGCAUGCGGAUUAAUUCGAUGCAACGCGUAGAACCUUACCUGGGUUUGACAUGGAUCGGGAGUGCUCAGAGAUGGGUGUGCCUCUUUUGGGGUCGGUUCACAGGUGGUGCAUGCCUGUCGUCAGCUCGUGUCGUGAGAUGUUGGGUUAAGUCCCGCAACGAGCGCAACCCUUGUUCACUGUUGCCAGCACGUUAUGGUGGGGACUCAGUGGAGACCGCCGGGGUCAACUCGGAGGAAGGUGGGGAUGACGUCAAGUCCUCAUGCCCCUUAUGUCCAGGGCUUCACGCAUGCUACAAUGGCUGGUACAGAGAGUGGCGAGCCUGUGAGGGUGAGCGAAUCUCGGAAAGCCGGUCUCAGUUCGGAUUGGGGUCUGCAACUCGACCUCAUGAAGUCGGAGUCGCUAGUAAUCGCAGAUCAGCAACGCUGCGGUGAAUACGUUCCCGGGGCU
rnacentral:rRNA from 1 species